rnacentral:rRNA from 1 species
GUGAGGAAUUUUCCGCAAUGGGCGAAAGCCUGACGGAGCAAUGCCGCGUGAAGGAUGAAGGCCUAUGGGUUGUAAACUUCUUUUCUUAGAGAAGAAUAUUGACGGUAUCUGAGGAAUAAGCAUCGGCUAACUCUGUGCCAGCAGCCGCGGUAAGACGAGGGAUCCUAGCGUUGUUCGGAAUUAUUGGGCGUAAAGCGGGUGCAGGUGGCUUGGUAAGUCAGAUGUGAAAGCCUGGGGCUUAACCCCAGAAGUGCAUUUGAUACUGCUGAGCUUGAGUGCUGGAGAGGCUAUUAGAAUUCCUGGUGUAGUGGUGAAAUACGUAGAUAUCAGGAGGAAUACCGGAGGCGAAGGCGGAUAGCUGGCCAGACACUGACACUCAGACACGAAAGCGUGGGGAUCAAACAGGAUUAGAUCCCCGGGUAGUCC